UUAAAUGUAUGUAAGUUUUGCACUAUUGGUUUCUUUAUUCUGUCUAUCUGAGAUCACUUUGCUUACUUCUAGUUUUUAAAUUUGCAACGUUCUUUUGUUUGAUCAUGGAACACUUGAAAAUAUAGUUUUUAGGAGAUGAUUGUUUAGGAGAAAUUUCUUUAAUAUCUUUGAUUGGUAGGUUGUAAUGCCAAUGACUUUGAGUGAGGCAACAUUCUCUUUCUUUUAAUUUCUCAAUCAAUAGUAUUACAUUCUCUUUCUCUUUGAUUCCCCCAAGAUUGGAUUGAAGGUUAGUCGUACACUAUUGCCUUAAUAUACCUAUAACUUUUUUUUUUUCUACAAACUAGCUAGUUAGUGUGACCAUUUCAUUGUUUUUUGUUGCUCAUCUAUCAUUUUCUGGUGAAGAUUAAUGAUAUUCAAAUUCAUUAUUGUCUUUUGGAGAAAUGGAAAUAUAAUAGGUUAGGGAAAAUUUAUUGACAUUUGAGUAUUUUUGUGCUGGGAUGAUCUUUCAAUUUCUGAGAAUUAUUCAUUUUUGUUCUUUCUUUCUUCUUUUCUUUUGUUUUUUUUACCGGUAACCAAACAAGGGUUGCUUUUAUUAUGUCGUUUUGCUGGUUGGGUGUCGUAAUUUUUUUCUCUUUCCAUUUCUACUCGACUUUCGUUUGCUCUUCCAAUUUGAGUAUGGUUUGAUGGCUAAAUAUUUGGAUAAUUUUUUCACCAAUCUAAACUAACAUACCUUCUUUUGGGUUUUAGAUUUUUUGGUUUCUUUCUUGUUCUGGUUUUCCCCCUCCCGCAACCCUUUGAAAUUUCAUUUUAUUGAUCGCAACUCAUGAUUGUGUUUCUUAAUAUCUUUUUGCAAAUUAUUAUAUAUGUAGAAAUUUGGGAGGUCUUAGGACAGAGUAGGUUAUGAUGUGCAAUAGGUUCCAAUAGGGAAUUUGCAAGCCCUAACUUCGCGAUGGACACAAUGAAUUUAAAUGAGGAGGAGGUUUUUGUAUCUCUGUUUUGCUUGAGUUUUUAGCUACAGAUGACCCUAAUUGGAUUUAGGAGUGCUGUUGAGGAAGAUGGUCAUGAUAUUGAUGAGACAAGCUUGUGGGAUAGGAAAUUUUUUGGUUAAAAAAAGAUGGGAGUAUGAAGAAAGGACUUCUCUUAUAGUGUUUGGAGGAGACAUCCAAUUGUGGUGUCUAGAAGAAGCCCUAUUUUUCUCUCUGACAGCAAAUUCUAAAAUUCAAAACAGAGCAAGUUAGUUGUUUCUUUCCUCUCCUUUUCUUUCAUUUAUUCUCUCACUUUGUAUAUUUCUAAAGAAAAGAAGAAAAGUUUUUUAUGAAACAUUUUAAAACAUUAAUGUCAUUUAAUUAAGUACCUAGCCAUUCUUCCCUCUUUCCAUAUAUAUAUUUUUCAUUUUUUUCUUGAUUCAUUGGUGAAUGAGAAGCAGAAGGAAAAAUAGAAGGAAAAGAUACAAAAGAAGCGUUGCAUAAUAAUCAAGGUUGUAGGUUGAGCAAUAUACGUCUAUAGGAACAUGAGGGCAAGUCAAUUAUGGUUUUCAAUACCAUUCUAGCAACUUCAGUCGCCUCUAUUCUUUCCAUGAUUGCUCCUCUAACCUUUGCAGAAACUAACCUCCAGAAAUUAAAGUACAAACAACAAAAGAAGAUUUUUUGUUUCUCAAUGUACGUGUGCUUCUACUCAUAUUUGACCUUCUUUUCUACAAUUGGUGUCUUUUAGUCUAGCAGCCACGUGAAAUAAUUCAUCAGCUAUUUUGUUGAUCGAGCUUGAUUCAAUUAUUACGGUCAGUUGUUAGUUUUGUGUCUUCACUGUUUGAGUUAGUUUCCCCAAUAUUACUAUGAUUACUUAUUAUAUAGUUUUGUAGGGGACAUCAUUCUAAAUUGGCUAAAAGGUAAGGAUUGAAAAAGGAUUUAUGGAUUUGGAAGUGUUUUGGUGGUUUCUUGCUUUUAAUCUUGAAGGGAAACUUGUGGAAUUGAAGUGUUGGUGGGUAGCAAGUUCCACUUUGGUCAUCCAAAAUAAAGAUUUUGAGUUGCUCCAACAAAGUGACUUUGAGGGAAAAAGAAUAUUAAAUUCUGUUCUUAACUUAGGUUUGCUUAGAAAAUUUUAAUAUUACGUUAAACUUCUACCUUUCAUUUUGCAGGUAAAUAUUAUCUUGUUGAUGGUGGAUAUCCACAAUUGAAAGGGUAUUUAGGCCAUUAAAAAGACAAAAUAUAUGAUUUCCUUAAUUACUUAUCAUUGUAUCAAUUUAUCAUUGUAUCAAUUUGCCUUGAUUAUUAGUUUCUUGUGUUAACAAUAACAUUUGAUAAAUGAGUUUGAGGUGAAUUUGAUGGCCAUAAAUAUUUAUAUAUUUGCAACAAGAGAUUGAUUUGAAGUUAAAUGUGAAGACUAGAGGAUGCAAUCCAUGUAAAAAAGUGAAAACUUGGAUAUAUAUGUAUCUUCAGGAAACUAGAAAGCCCAGGUCAC